GACGGACGCUGGCGGCGUGCUUAACACAUGCAAGUCGAACGGAAAGGCCCCAGCUUGCUGGGGUACUCGAGUGGCGAACGGGUGAGUAACACGUGGGUGAUCUGCCCUGCACUCUGGGAUAAGCCUGGGAAACUGGGUCUAAUACCGGAUAGGACCGUGCUUUAGUGUGUGCGGUGGAAAGUUUUUCGGUGCAGGAUGAGCCCGCGGCCUAUCAGCUUGUUGGUGGGGUAAUGGCCUACCAGGGCGGCGACGGGUAGCCGGCCUGAGAGGGUGUACGGCCACAUUGGGACUGAGACACGGCCCAGACUCCUACGGGAGGCAGCAGUGGGGAAUAUUGCACAAUGGGCGCAAGCCUGAUGCAGCGACGCCGCGUGGGGGAUGACGGCCUUCGGGUUGUAAACCCCUUUCGGCAGGGACGAAGCUUUUGUGACGGUACCUGCAUAAGAAGCACCGGCUAACUACGUG
rnacentral:rRNA from 1 species